UAGGGAAUCUUCCGCAAUGGACGAAAAGUCUGACGGAGCAACGCCGCGUGAGUGAUGAAGGUUUUCGGAUCGUAAAACUCUGUUGUUAGGGAAGAACAAGUACGAGAGUAACUGCUCGUACCUUGACGGUACCUAACCAGAAAGCCACGGCUAACUACGUGCCAGCAGCCGCGGUAAUACGUAGGUGGCAAGCGUUGUCCGGAAUUAUUGGGCGUAAAGCGCGCGCAGGCGGUCCUUUAAGUCUGAUGUGAAAGCCCACGGCUCAACCGUGGAGGGUCAUUGGAAACUGGGGGACUUGAGUACAGAAGAGAAGAGUGGAAUUCCACGUGUAGCGGUGAAAUGCGUAGAGAUGUGGAGGAACACCAGUGGCGAAGGCGACUCUUUGGUCUGUAACUGACGCUGAGGCGCGAAAGCGUGGGGAGCAAACAGGAUUAGAUACCCUGGUAGUCCACGCUGUAAACGAUGAGUGCUAAGUGUUAGAGGGUUUCCG
rnacentral:rRNA from 1 species